UUCUUCGUGCGAGUUGCGCCUUGCGAGCGGCCCACCUAAUUUUCCGUCGUCUCAGACGUAAUUUCGUCUCCUUUUUUACAACGACAGUUUCUCGGUCGAGCUAAACCCACUUUCCUCAAAUCGUGUGUGCGGUUCCGGAUUUUUGGUUCGGUGGAGCCGGGGUGUGGCCUGGCGAUUGGCGAGGAUAGGUGGUGCCGGCGGCGACGCCUAGGGAAGGAGCAGCCGGCGGUGGCGCGUGAGAGCAGGAGGAGCGGCGCACGCGGCGUGGCGGUGGCGGGCUACGCGGCUUGAGGGCUCGAGCCUGAGCGGCGCCGGCGCCGGCGCCGGUCGUUGGGGCGACGUCCACCUCCAUCCCCAUCGACGGAAUGCUCGUGAGAGUGUUUUUUUUAGCAUAAUGCAGAAAUAUUUAAUUUGAUGCCACUGUUUGAGCUUAUGAAAAAUUACAUAGUAGAGUUGGCGUGAUCAUAUCCUUUUUAAGUACGUUCAGGAUUGUACAUCCUCUGGAACAGAAAAUAAACAGGGAGAGGAAAUCAUGCACAUCCUCUUUUCUUUUUUGUAUUUGUCCUGCUUUUCUUUAGCUGAGGCUGAAAGCAAGCAUCUUUGUGGUCAUGUCCUAAUGUUCUAAUUCUCCCGCUUUCCUCUCAGAUUUUUCCUUAAAUCUUAUGGUAGCUUUUCACCUAAAGAUCAAAGUAUUCCUCUAUUAUUUAGACACAAACCAGUAAAGCUCAAAUGAUGUGAGUUAAUUAGGUCAAAAGCUGAACUGAUGUGAGUUCAUCAGGUGUUCCUGUUAGUUGGCUUGCCCAAUAGAUAUUAGUUUGCUUGCUCAACUGAAACAAAAGUUUGAUAAUUUGGGACUGGCAAAGGGGGACAUAUAUGAAGAUUCUAAUAUUUGUCUCAGCACAAAUAUAAGCAACAAGGUCUUAUCUCUUCCAUUAUUUUAUUCCUAUAUGAAGUUUGAGGUCUCUAGUUUCAACCUGAUGAAGGGUAGGGUGACUCAUUGUAGAAACUAGCAGACUUUGCUGGGUAAUUAGAAUUUGCAAUUUCGUCUCAAUGCAAACUACCAGACUCUAAACCCUGUCUAUUCCAGGAACUACAAAGAUUUGCUACAGGUGGUUUAGCACGUCAAGUAUUUGUGCAGAGAAAGCAGGCUAGGGGAGGAGGUUACAGUAAAAAUGUGCACUUGGCUUCCUUUAGUGUGCUCUAAGCUGUUUGCAGAAGGUUUAUAUAAUAAUUCAUUAUUAAAUGGAAUUCUUGGAGUUCCUUCAUACCAGGUUUAAGAACUCUUAUGCAUCGAAAUUCAGAGGAGAACACCUGCAUGGUGUGAUUGCAUUCUCUGGUACGGUGAUGGUCUCAUCAGCUAUUUUACGUUUGUGGAGAGUCUCAGCUUCUCCGACCAUACACCAGUAUACAGUAUUUUUAUGGCAGAGGUUGAGAUUGUCCACCAGAGGAAGAGAAACAUGGGCUAUUUUAGCUCUAGGAUUGAGGUGGAAGAGCUGUUACCACAUUCAGAGAGCUAAACUUCCUCUAAUUUUACUUGUGAGCAUGUUGUAAGGUUAGGAGGUGAAAAGUAUUUAUGUAUGGUUCAAGAAUCAAAGCACGCUGGAUUAUCAGAUGAUGUUGGGCAAUUUUGCAGGCAGUCAUUGUGUCAGAUGGAGAGAAGUGUUACUGGCCUGAGGGAGGAACGAUGAGUCUGAAAGGGCUUGCAUAGUUACAAUCAUGUCUAUACCUUUCUUCUUCUGCUGUUGUAGUGCUUGAGCAGUUAAGUGAGGCAUGUGUUUUUUGUACUCGUCAUUGUUGUGACAAAAGAAGAUUGGCUCCCUCCAUAAAGCUCCUGGAUUGCUUAAUUUGACCUCUGUAAUGAUGCUUGAAUUUUUUUCGUUUCCCACUCUAUUUUGUUAAUCAAACAAGUU